rnacentral:rRNA from 1 species
UGCCAGCAGCCGCGGUAAUACGGAAGGUCCAGGCGUUAUCCGGAUUUAUUGGGUUUAAAGGGAGCGCAGGCUGAUGAUUAAGCGUGACGUGAAAUGUAGCCGCUCAACGGCUGAACUGCGUCGCGAACUGGUUAUCUUGAGUGAGUUCGAUGUUGGCGGAAUUCGUGGUGUAGCGGUGAAAUGCUUAGAUAUCACGAAGAACUCCGAUUGCGAAGGCAGCCAACAAGGCCUUUACUGACGCUAAAGCUCGAAGGUGCGGGUAUCGAACAGGAUUAGAUACCCUGGUAGUCCGCACGGUAAACGAUGGAUGCCCGCUGUUUGCGAUAUACUGUGAGCGGCCAAGAGAAAUCGUUAAGCAUCCCACCUGGGGAGUACGCCGGCAACGGUGA